ensembl:ncRNA Y105C5B.1420 ncRNA
AGUGACACACCCUUAGGUGUUUCUUUAAGAAGAUCCACUUCUCAAAAAUCGACGGCGGUUAGUUGCGAUUUUUAUACGUUCUCUGAAAUUAUUAGCAAAUUAUUAAGUACAACUGAUCAAGUUGAAAACAAAAUUCCAAGAUAUUCAUAGAAGUGCUCGGGACUCCAGCGAAUCACCUAGAAUUGUUUCAGAUACGGUUUCCGAAGUUGGAGAACUAUCAAUAUUGAAAAUCAUGGACUGUUUUUGAAUUUCGAUUUUUUUUUAACUCCAAAUUUAUUUUAACUUUAUUAAACAAUUGUUUUUCUUGCUUGACAACAGGUUUUCUUUGUUUUUAAUCACAUUUUGAAUUUCUAUAAAUGAUUUCUGUAACUUGACGUUUUAUAGGAAAACGGCAUUAAAUAAAUCAAAAAAAAUUUUGAACAGUUUCCAGUAGAAUGGUUACUCACGAUGACUACAAAGAAACAAAGCAUUUGACAAAAAAGCAAGGGAAAAAUAUAAAAACAAAAACGUCCUAAGUUUAAAACAAUUUUCUUGAAAAAUUUAGGUGCUUUGAAAAAGUUCACUCAAAUUACUUUCGUGUGUAAACAGUAUGAAACAGUGAAAAAAUAUAACACUUAAUAUCAGCAAUCAAUUUUUGGUGGAAUGUUUUUCGGAAAUUACUUUCUUGAUGUGAACAAAUUUUUGAUGAUCAUCACAGUAAAUGAAAACAAAGUGAAGCGGCAAAAAUUUUAAAUAACUUUUGAGAUCCCAAAAUUUAAUAUUUUUAUUGACCUACAGUAAUCCUACGUAGUUCCAUUAUUAAAUUCCUACAGUGACUCACUUCCUUUCUGAAACCUCAAGUUUUACAUAUACUAAAACUACAGCCUGUAAUAUUUUCAUUAC